rnacentral:rRNA from 1 species
AUUGAACGCUGGCGGCGUGCCUAACACAUGCAAGUCGAGCGGUAACAGGUGUAGCAAUACAUGCUGACGAGCGGCGAACGGGUGAGUAAUGCUUCGGAAUCUGCCCAUGUAGUGGGGAAUAACCAGCCGAAAGGUUGGCUAAUACCGCAUACGACCCUUGCCCACAAGGCAAAGGUGAAAGCAGGGGAUCGCAAGACCUUGCGCUAUUGGAUGAGCCGAAGUCGGAUUAGCUAGUUGGUAGGGUAACGGCCUACCAAGGCGACGAUCCGUAGCUGGUCUGAGAGGACGACCAGCCACACUGGGACUGAGACACGGCCCAGACUCCUACGGGAGGCAGCAGUGGGGAAUAUUGGACAAUGGGGCAACCCUGAUCCAGCGACGCCGCGUGUGUGAAGAAGGCCUGCGGGUUGU